rnacentral:rRNA from 1 species
UACGUAGGGUGCAAGCGUUGUUCGGAAUUAUUGGGCGUAAAGAGCUCGUAGGCGGUUUGUCGCGUCUGCUGUGAAAACCCGAGGCUCAACCUCGGGCCUGCAGUGGGUACGGGCAGACUAGAGUGCGGUAGGGGAGAUUGGAAUUCCUGGUGUAGCGGUGGAAUGCGCAGAUAUCAGGAGGAACACCGAUGGCGAAGGCAGAUCUCUGGGCCGUAACUGACGCUGAGGAGCGAAAAGCGUGGGGGAGCAAACAGGAUUAG